AGAGUUUGAUCCUGGCUCAGAACGAACGUAGCGGCGCGCUUAACACAUGCAAGUCGUGCGAGAAAGGGGCAACCCCGGUAAAGCGGCGCACGGGUGAGUAACACGUAGGUAAUCUACCCCCAGGUGGUGGAUAACCUUCCGAAAGGAGGGCUAAUACAGCAUGAGACCACAGGCCCGCGAGGGCUCGAGGUCAAAGCCGG
rnacentral:rRNA from 1 species